rnacentral:rRNA from 1 species
UAGAGUUUGAUCCUGGCUCAGAGCGAACGCUGGCGGCAGGCUUAACACAUGCAAGUCGAGCGGGCGUAGCAAUACGUCAGCGGCAGACGGGUGAGUAACGCGUGGGAACGUACCUUUUGGUUCGGAACAACACAGGGAAACUUGUGCUAAUACCGGAUAAGCCCUUACGGGGAAAGAUUUAUCGCCAAAAGAUCGGCCCGCGUCUGAUUAGCUAGUUGGUGAGGUAACGGCUCACCAAGGCGACGAUCAGUAGCUGGUCUGAGAGGAUGAUCAGCCACAUUGGGACUGAGACACGGCCCAAACUCCUACGGGAGGCAGCAGUGGGGAAUAUUGGACAAUGGGCGCAAGCCUGAUCCAGCCAUGCCGCGUGAGUGAUGAAGGCCCUAGGGUUGUAAAGCUCUUUUGUGCGGGAAGAUAAUGACGGUACCGCAAGAAUAAGCCCCGGCUAACUUCGUGCCAGCAGCCGCGGUAGCCCA